rnacentral:rRNA from 1 species
UGGUAAUAUAGCUUUAAAAACCAAAGCAUCAUGGCGGCCUUAAAAAGCCACUUAGAGGAAUCUGUUCUAUAAACGACAUUACACGUUAAUUUUCACUUUUUACAAAAGCCUUUAUACCGCCGUCCAACUUAAAUUUCAACAUUUAAGUAUUUCAAAGCCUUUUAUAAAGUCAGGUCUAGGUUAAGCCAAUUAAAAAGAAGAAAUAGAUUACAUUAAAUAACAUUUAAGGAAUAAAAUCAAAAAAUAACAAGAAAUAGGAUUUAAAAGUAGUAUUUAUUUAAAAUCUAAAUACGAAAGGAAACUAGGUGC